rnacentral:rRNA from 1 species
UACGUAGGGGGCGAGCGUUGUCCGGAUUCAUUGGGCGUAAAGAGCUCGUAGGCGGCUUGGUAAGUCGGGUGUGAAACCUCCAGGCUCAACCUGGAGACGCCACUCGAUACUGCCAUGGCUAGAGUCCGGUAGGGGCCCACGGAAUUCCUGGCGUAGCGGUGAAAUGCGCAGAUAUCGGGAGGAACACCGGUGGCGAAGGCGGUUCUCUGGGCCUGUACUGACGCUGAGGAGCGAAAGCGUGGGGAGCGAACAGG